GAUCAUGGCUCAGGACGAACGCUGGCGGCGUGCCUAAUACAUGCAAGUAGAACGCUGAAGGAAGGAGCUUGCUCUUUCCGGAUGAGUUGCGAACGGGUGAGUAACGCGUAGGUAACCUGCCUGGUAGUGGGGGAUAACUAUUGGAAACGAUAGCUAAUACCGCAUAACAGUAGAUAUCGCAUGAUAGCUGCUUGAAAGGUGCAAUUGCACCACUACCAGAUGG
rnacentral:rRNA from 1 species